rnacentral:misc_RNA from 1 species
UUCAGGAUCUAAACUGUAAGACAGAGUUUCUCUUUUUCAAAUGUAAUAAUUCUCAAAGUCUAGUAGACAGCAUUUAAUUGAAAAGGACAUUUUAUUGUUACAGAUACAUUCACAAAUUGCUAACUGCUUAUUAAGGAGGAUUUACAUAUCCAUAGACUGCAAAAAAAGCUUGAAUAAAGGUGAGAAUGAGGAUAAUGAGAGCAGCUAUAGCAGAUAUGAAUGUCCAAGGGCUAUCAAAAUAUUUGUGCUUGCACCCUGCCCAUCUACCAUGCCAAACGUUUCCAUAAUGGUCAUUCACAUCCUCGAACAGCUUUGCUAGAUAACUCUGCCUAAUAUCAAAACAAAUGUCCUUGCCUACAUCAUUGAAGAAUUUAACAACUUCUGUAUCAGUUCCCAAGGAAUUCCCAAUAAUUUGGUGGUCUCGCAAGUACCCUGCAUCCACAGGUGUGUUGAUGAGGCAACCCAUGAAAAUAACAUACGAUGUAAAGUGGGUUGAACAAUGCUUAUAACAUUGUUCUAAUGCCACACAAUUCGAUAUGAGGGAGCUAAUGGAGUCAUCUAUUGCCAAAUGUGGGAUUUCCAGUACUCCAUGAUCACGUCUAAAUUUAAUGUCCAAGAAGCUCUCAGUAGCAGUCCUACUGCUUUGCUUGAACUUGAUCCCAGAUGCACGGAGCUUCU